rnacentral:rRNA from 1 species
GACGAACGCUGGCGGCGUGCUUAACACAUGCAAGUCGAACGCUGAAGCCUGGCUUUUGUUGGGUGGAUGAGUGGCAAACGGGUGAGUAACACGUGAGUAACCUGCCCUCUUCUUUGGGAUAACGCCCGGAAACGGGUGCUAAUACUGGAUAUUCACUUGCCUUCGCAUGGGGGUGGGUGGAAAGGGUUUUUUUCUGGUGGGGGAUGGGCUCGCGGCCUAUCAGCUUGUUGGUGGGGUGAUGGCUUACCAAGGCUUUGACGGGUAGCCGGCCUGAGAGGGUGACCGGUCACAUUGGGACUGAGAUACGGCCCAGACUCCUACGGGAGGCAGCAGUGGGGAAUAUUGCACAAUGGGCGCAAGCCUGAUGCAGCGACGCCGCGUGAGGGAUGGAGGCCUUCGGGUUGUGAACCUCUUUCGCUCAUGGUCAAGCCGCAACUCAUGGUUGUGGUGAGGGUAGUGGGUAAAGAAGCGCCGGCUAACUACGUGCCAGCAGCCGCGGUAAUACGUAGGGCGCGAGCGUUGUCCGGAAUUAUUGGGCGUAAAGGGCUUGUAGGCGGUUGGUCGCGUCUGCCGUGAAAUCCUCUGGCUUAACUGGGGGCGUGCGGUGGGUACGGGCUGACUUGAGUGCGGUAGGGGAGACUGGAACUCCUGGUGUAGCGGUGGAAUGCGCAGAUAUCAGGAAGAACACCGGUGGCGAAGGCGGGUCUCUGGGCCGUUACUGACGCUGAGGAG